CUCUGAUUCAGUGCUCUCGCAAGCCACACAAAACGCCCCCCUUCCCAUUCCACUUCCACUUCCUCCUUUAAUUCCCAACCCGUUCUCUGCUUCCAUCGGUCUGCCUUCUUAGCCCCCAAACAAAUCUUCCUCCUGAGACCUCCUAAUCUCUCCCAUCCGGUCGCCGCUAGCACAUGUACCUACACCCAACAACCGGGUGGCUGCUCGACUCCUUCCACCUGCCGAUCGAAGAGAUGAGAAGGAUAGGGCAUGUGGCGGCUAUCGCGCUGCCCCUGCCGGAGAAAUUGCCGGUGUUCUGCCUGAACGCGGGUAACAUAUGCCCGUGGCGCUGGUCCUCUGAGGGUCGGGCUGGUGGUGAGGACGGGCAGGGCUCCGUUCAGAGCGACGGCUUGGAGGGGCGAUAGAUCCAUCUCCUCCCGCAGGUUCCGCCCCGGCUAAUUCACAGACCAGAUUAUACUGCAGGAAUGGUGGAAUUGCUUUUCCAAGCUGAUGCUAAGGUAUGGGCAUCUGUGAGCAAGCACGACAUCUUUCUCCCUAUGAUUAGAGGCUGAUUAGACAGACUCUUGGUGUUUCUGAUAGCGGAUAGUUGUUUUGAUGACUCUCCGAAUUUUGGAUGGUAUAGAAGGGCGAGCUAAAAUAAAUGCUUCAGUUUGGUUUGGCUUAAUUCAACCUGUUUCAAAAUGAUAUAUGUCAUGAGGAUAUGAGAGAGAAGAAACAUGAUGGUGUGCAUUAUGCAUCGCUACAGGACUUUGCUACGAAGCCUGCUUCUUUCAGGUACGAUACUAGGUAUACGUUGAAAAGUAGCUGUAUGCAGCAGUAGCAGUCGCCAGCUAGCAUGGCCUUUCUCAUCUUGAUGAUCUGAACGAAUAUGUUUGCUUGGAAGUUCUGUAGGUUAUAUACAAAAUUCUAGGAAUUCUAUAACCGCUGCACAUUUUCAUGGCUAUUUAUACAGUCGGGUCAUUCUCCUAUUUCACGUGGCUAGAUGAGUUGCUAAAGUUUUCAUUUACUGUUGUUUCCUUGCUAUAGUGUGCUUGGUUAGUAUGUGCAUUAGUUGUUGUUUGUUCCCUCGGUUGUUCAGUGUUGUAAGGUUUUAAGGUCGUUUGUACUUUUAUUAAUGUUAAUUCAACACAUUCAGUUCUCGCGUAUGGUUAAAAAACCCGUUCCAUGUCUUAAGUUAACAAGAAGCAAGUUAUUCCUGUUGAUUUUCAGCUUCUACGGGCCCUUCAGUAGCACCAUCUGUAAGUGCCAUAUCUAUCUAUCUCAAGCUGUUUUUGUUAAAGAUCUUGAUAUGUAAAUAGAGCAUCAUAAAUUAUCUUGCUUCUUUCCUGAAAAGGGUACUAAAGUCGUCGUCUUCUUUCAUGCUUCUGGAGGACAAAUUAUACACUGUGUGCUAGCUGGUAAUCAUUUUCUUCGGAAUAACUGGUUACUUCCAAUACAUGCAAUAGUCUGAAGGUAUAUGCAUAUUUACGUUUCUGAGUUUCCUAACAUGCAACAAGUUCAACUUGACAGCUCUCCACUCAAGCAUGGAUGAAGAUGUACAUGGAAAUGAUUAUGCAUAUUAUGAGAUUUAAAAUUUCAGACAAGUGCGGUCUUUCAAAUUUUCUCUAUUACUCACUUUGUUUCAAAUUAUUCUUUAAAGAAUGGAUGAAAACAUGAGAAUUAGGAAGCUAUUUUUUAUUUGAAAGCUUGGCAACAGCUCAAUGGUAGCGUAUAUUGGAAAACUUUAACCGGUUGGUUCUGCGGUAAUUGA